rnacentral:misc_RNA from 1 species
AAGGCAUUUGUUUCUCUCUUUUUCACUUCUUGCUGAGAGUCAAGCUCUUUGUCACUGUCAGUAUCUCAUGAUUGACCUCUGUCCCUUCGGGCAAGGGAUGGUUUUCCUUUACUCUGCUUGGAAGUGGGUUUUUCCCUCCUUACCUGCGGGCAAGGUUUUAUGGAUAAAUAAGGUUGUUUCCUUUUUUGGUUGCAAAUCUGUGCACUCAUAGUAAUGGAUUUGGGUUUGGAUCUGCUUUGUAGUGAUUUUGAUUAAGCUCUCCUUUGUGUUGGAUUGUGCUUUUCCUCUGAAGAUGGGUCUUCAACUGUUUGGGCAUGGAGGAAGAGGCACCUUGAGAGUAAAAGAGCUAAGCCUAUUCUGAGGCUUCCCCCUCUGGCGAAAAGAGACUGAAAUGCCUCUGAGCUCUGUCUCUUCUUCUACUAGUCUCCCUCCAUCAACCAUUCUGGAUGAAGCUACGACGAAGGCAUGGUUGCAACAUGGAUCCUAAGGUUGCUAAGGGUCUACAGGAUUGAGAAACAAACUGACUCAAUUAGGGUUUGUUUUUGUUUGUUGGGUUGGGUUUGGAUUAGUUUGAUUGACUUAGCUAAAUUGGGUUUUGUUUAUGUAAGCCAUGAGCUAUUUGAUUGAACUUUAAGGCCAUAUUUCAAACACUUUGUGCUGGGUUGUUUAAGGUUCUUUUAGUAAUGAGAAUCCUUUUUAUCUUUU